AUGGAUCUUGUUGGGGAUCAGCCUAUCUGUGCUUGCACUGCCUGGGCAUGUAUGAUGAAAUCAGGUGGCCGCAUUUCACAUGCUUUGUCUGUGUAUAGUUGUCAACUUCGCCAUCCCAACCAGAGCUACCACCACAUUCCUCUAACUCCUGAUAAUGUUGUUGUGUUCCCUUCUCGUGCUGUGGCAAUAGAAAAUGCUCUUCAAUUGUUCUCACCGGCGCUCGCAAUUGUUGAUGAACAUUUGACCAGACACUUGCCCAAGCAAUGGUUAACAUCUUUAGCAAUUGAGGUAGCUUGCUUUUGUUCUGCUAGAACAGAGUACAGUUACUGUGACUGA
rnacentral:rRNA from 1 species